UAUCUCUGUAGAGUCUGCAUAUCAAUAAGCGGAGGAAAAGAAACUAACUAGGAUUCCCUUAGUAACGGCGAGUGAAGCGGGAAGAGCUCAAAUUUGAAAUCUUCAAGGUUUUACCUUGACGAAUUGUAGUUUAAAGAAGUGUUUUCUGUUGAAGUUUCGGUAAAAGUUCUUUGGAAUAGGACAUCAUAGAGGGUGAGGAUCCCGUAUUUGACCAUUAUUUUCCAGCUUUGUGAUACACUUUCAAAGAGUCGGAUUGUUUGGGAAUGCAGUCCAAAAUGGGUGGUAAAUUUCAUCUAAAGCUAAAUAUUGGCGAGAGACCGAUAGCGAACAAGUACCGUGAGGGAAAGAUGAAAAGAACUUUGAAAAGAGAGUUAAACAGUACGUGAAAUUGUCAAAAGGGAAGCGUUUGACACCAGUGUUGUUUCCUCGAAAAUCAAUUAAAAAUGGCUUGAUUUUGUGUUGUAUUGACCUUAAAAGCUUUCUUCACUUUUUUCAUGUCUUUUUUAAUGCACUUUUCGUUUAACAAGUCAACAUCAGUUUCUUUUGUUGUAAAAAGGUCAUCGGAAGGUGGCUUUCUUUUCGGAGAAAGUGUUUAUAGCCUUUGACUUCUGCAAUCGGAGAGACUGAGGUCUGCAGCGUAGAUCCUUCUGGAUUAGAUUCAUUUGUGCUAAGUUACAACCGUUUAUAGACAACUUGUUGACUAUAUUCGAUCCUGUAGCUUACUCGCUUAUGUAAUUUUACCUACGCUUAGGAUGUUGAUCUGUAGUGCGUGCGC
rnacentral:rRNA from 1 species